rnacentral:rRNA from 1 species
GACGAACGCUGGCGGCGUGCCUAAUACAUGCAAGUAGAACGCUGAAGAGAGGAGCUUGCUCUUCUUGGAUGAGUUGCGAACGGGUGAGUAACGCGUAGGUAACCUGCCUUGUAGCGGGGGAUAACUAUUGGAAACGAUAGCUAAUACCGCAUAACAAUGGAUGACACAUGUCAUUUAUUUGAAAGGGGCAAUUGCUCCACUACAAGAUGGACCUGCGUUGUAUUAGCUAGUAGGUGAGGUAAUGGCUCACCUAGGCGACGAUACAUAGCCGACCUGAGAGGGUGAUCGGCCACACUGGGACUGAGACACGGCCCAGACUCCUACGGGAGGCAGCAGUAGGGAAUCUUCGGCAAUGGGGGCAACCCUGACCGAGCAACGCCGCGUGAGUGAAGAAGGUUUUCGGAUCGUAAAGCUCUGUUGUAAGUCAAGAACGGGUGUGAGAGUGGAAAGUUCACACUGUGACGGUAGCUUACCAGAAAGGGACGGCUAACUACGUGCCAGCAGCCGCGGUAAUACGUAGGUCCCGAGCGUUGUCCGGAUUUAUUGGGCGUAAAGCGAGCGCAGGCGGUUUGAUAAGUCUGAAGUUAAAGGCUGUGGCUCAACCAUAGUUCGCUUUGGAAACUGUCAAACUUGAGUGCAGAAGGGGAGAGUGGAAUUCCAUGUGUAGCGGUGAAAUGCGUAGAUAUAUGGAGGAACACCGGUGGCGAAAGCGGCUCUCUGGUCUGUAACUGACGCUGAGGCUCGAAAGCGUGGGGAGCGAACAGGAUUAGAUACCCUGGUAGUCCACGCCGUAAACGAUGAGUGCUAGGUGUUGGAUCCUUUCCGGGAUUCAGUGCCGCAGCUAACGCAUUAAGCACUCCGCCUGGGGAGUACGACCGCAAGGUUGAAACUCAAAGGAAUUGACGGGGGCCCGCACAAGCGGUGGAGCAUGUGGUUUAAUUCGAAGCAACGCGAAGAACCUUACCAGGUCUUGACAUCCCGAUGCUAUUUCUAGAGAUAGAAAGUUACUUCGGUACAUCGGUGACAGGUGGUGCAUGGUUGUCGUCAGCUCGUGUCGUGAGAUGUUGGGUUAAGUCCCGCAACGAGCGCAACCCCUAUUGUUAGUUGCCAUCAUUCAGUUGGGCACUCUAGCGAGACUGCCGGUAAUAAACCGGAGGAAGGUGGGGAUGACGUCAAAUCAUCAUGCCCCUUAUGACCUGGGCUACACACGUGCUACAAUGGUUGGUACAACGAGUUGCGAGUCGGUGACGGCGAGCUAAUCUCUUAAAGCCAAUCUCAGUUCGGAUUGUAGGCUGCAACUCGCCUACAUGAAGUCGGAAUCGCUAGUAAUCGCGGAUCAGCCCGCCGCGGUGAAUACAUGCCCGGGCCU